rnacentral:lncRNA from 1 species
UGAUGUUACUGAAUAAUGUUUGAAGACAUUCAGAUAGAACUUCCAUUUCCAUAUUACAUUGCUCUAACAAUAACCAAAACAAAAUGGAUCAAUAGUACUAGCAGAAAUCCUAUCUAAUAAACAUCCACAAGUCUUAGAGACCAUGUGUGGAAAACAAAAAAAAGAAUUUGUCCUUAAAAACAACUAAACAAAUAGAAACUAAGCAUCUCCUUUGCAUAAUAUGAUCUCCACAUGGGGAGAAGAGCUUCAAGCACUUAGAGAGAGAUCAAUGGAGAUAAGGGUGGCCGACGAGUGAGAGAGAGAGAGAUCACCGGGACAGUGAGUGAGGUUUGCGGACUGAGGGAGAUAGCUCCUGCUAUCGAUUUGUGCCCAAGCUUCCAGGCAAUUAAACCCAUAAGUUCACGAAAAUGUUUCAGAAAUUAAAAUUUCAACCAGCGCACUCGAAAG